AAGCCUGUAACUGAAGUCCAAUGCACUGGGAGAUCUGGGUUUGCUCCAUGUAAUAAUACUUUGCUUCCAAUUUUAAGACUCUGGAAGCCAGCUAAUAUUCCCCAACGAAUGGGGCAGACAGUUCGGCAAGAAAGACAUCUCAGAUUUUGUACUGAGUUUAUCAAAGGCAUUCAAAGCUGCCUGUACUUUGGAAACAAGGAGUAUGACAGGUCUGUUGUGAGAUAGGAAAGAUAUCUUGGAGAAUUGUUGCCUGAGGUUUUCGACAACUUGCAACAGUCAGAAUAACAUGGUACCCUGACUUAGUAUAAGAAAGAUUCAUAUUAGGGCAGAUUAGAAGCCUAAAAGGCAUUGUUUCUCAGAGGCCUUCAGGAACAAGAUGAGCCAAUUUGAUCAGAACCUCAGAUUGCUAUUACAUUGCCAUAUUGGUAAAGCCAUUUUAAAAGGAAUGCUUAAAAUUUUGAAAAAGAUAAGCAAACAAAGAGAAGCUAAGAUCUCCCUUGAGUUGAAAUCCAACCAGAUUCUAGUAAUUACAUCACCAUCAUGCUUUCUUGGCAACAAUCACUUUUAUCCUUUAUUGCUUUAUUUAUUAUUUGCUUUAUCCCAAGGUAACCCAAAGUCCUGGGAUUUCUUGGUGAACUGCCAUCCGUGUACUGAAACCUAUUUAGAUGGUCCUAUACACUAAACGAAUGACCCACUGGGAUCCCCAUAUCAAAAUAACUUACCUUAUGUGGUACCAGAAUUUGAAAAUUACAUUUAACACAGCACAGUACCUGAGCAAAAUGGUUCGACUGAGAUUGGCAUAGUAAAAACAUAGAAGAACUGAAUACUCAGAAUCAAUCCUUGUGAUAUUCCAUGACUUCAUAUAUCCUUCCUGAAUUUGUCUAGGAAACUUUGGGAAGCACCAAGUAUAAUUUCCUAACCAGUUCUGUAUUGUCCUAAUUGUCCUGACAUAUAGUCCACAAUUAAGUAGCCUGUUAUCAGUAUAUCAUGGAGUACUUGUUUAAAAUGUUAUGUUUAAGGAUCUUUGGGAUAGAUAAGGAGCUUUUGUAAAAGAUUAUUGACUAAUGAAAUUUAUAUCUGGCAAUAUACUUAAUGAAAAUAUGUGUUAGAAAUGUACUAAUGAGAUUCCAAUAAUUUAAAUAGAUAGAGAGCAUUGGUUCUGAUUUAAGCAUUUAAUUUAUAUAUAGUGACAUAUUAAAGAAUGAAUUGGUUAUAGGAGUGUAUUAAUUUGAUUAUUAUAUUGAUAUUGAGCAGUUGAAAGUUUUUAUUGAUUAAGUAAAUUUAUAUUUAGAUAUAUUAAUGAAUGAAUUUAUUUGAAUUUAAUUGAUUAUAAUUUCUACAUAGAUAGAGAGGGAAGUUUUAAGAAAUAUUGUGUGAAUUGUAUAUAUAUAAUGUUAUUGUUUUCUCUUUGUAAUUGACCACCUUAUCUCCACGCUGGUUCUUAAGCUUCUUUUGGUGUAAAAUGGAAAAAUAAUAAAAAUUGUUU